ensembl:lncRNA
UACAACCCCAUGGACGGUAGCCCACCAGGCUCAUCUGUCCAUAGGGUUUCCCAGACAAGAAUACUGAGUGGGUUGUCAUUUCCUCCUCCAGGGACUCUUUCCAACCCAAGGAUCGAACUCUCACCUCUUGCAGCUCCUGCACUGGCAGGCAGAUUCGUUACUACCGGAGCGGGGCCCAGCAUUGGUGAUCAAAAGUCAUUUUGUUACUGAGGUCAAAGGACGGAGCUGAAAGGUGGAGGGAGAGUGAGUGGUGAGCGGAGUCAGAGCCUUUCAGAAGGCGCAGAGAGGCGCUCAAAGCCGGGCAGCCACAGCGUCUGAAGACUUUGUGGAAUGCAGGUCCCCAAAGCAGCACCCCUGGGGACCGCAACUCUCCACCCCAAGGGAAUACCCAGGCAAACUGCAAGCCUGAGGAAAGCUUUCCCUUUAAUGUAUGGAUGUGAUUGGUCCCUCAGUUACGUCAGACUCUUUGCGACUCUGUGAACUGUAGCCCGGCAGGCUCCUCUGUCCCUGGGAUUCUCCAGGCAAGAAUUCCGAGUGGGUUGCCAUUUCCUGCCCCAGGGGAUCUUCCUGACCCAGGGAUCGAAGCCCAGUCUCUUGUAUCCACUGCCUCGGCAAGCGGAUUCUUUGAGGAACUGCUCUGUACCUGUGGGGAGCCAGUGAAACUCUUCAACUAGGAAAAGCAUGAGGUCAUGGGUCCCAAUCCCCUGAGGCAUGGUUUGCUUCCUUCGCUUCUGAGGCCAAGGACUCUGACCAGAGGGGCUGCUGGGAAAGUAAUGUCAUCUAUUCCCCCAUCAAUCUCCCCAGGUAAAUGUCAGUGUUAGUACGAAGGGAAAUAGUGGUGGCCACUUGAGAAACCACUGCAGCGGGGCCAUGUGGGUGAAGUCAUGCUGUCUGAGUCACCAACACUGCUCUUUAACUUAUUUUGGAAUCUUUGGUUUGUGGUGUGGGGGUGGAUUAAUUGGCAGAAAUUACAGAAGUAGCUAUUACUCCAUCUUGAUUUGGGGAGUCUGUGCACAGACUUAAACUCUUGUUUUACUUUUGAGUUUGUGCCUUAUUCAUAUACAUUUUUUAAAAAGAAAAGAUUCUUUUUAUGUAAUGGGAUGAAGCUCACAUCCAAUGUCAGUAGUCCCAGGAAUGCCUGAAGUGGUUUUGUCAUCAGAAUAUAAAAAUUGAACUCUCCUCCCAAUAUAAGCAGACUGUGGCUUGAUAAAUACUGUGAAAGUAGAACAUGGAAAAAAGAAAAAGUAAGAAAUCCAGUUCAGGCAACUAUUAAGAGCAUCACAAUUCUAACCACUGCCAAUGAAAAACCCAUGAGAAAUAAGUCUGAAAAGGCCAGAAUUUCCCAAAUCGAAGAACCUUCUCCAGGAUUCUCGUUUUGUUUAUUUUCAGUCUGGCUACAUUGGACUAUGGCCUCAGCUGGUAAAGAAUUGCCUGCAAUGCAGGAGACCUGGGUUCGAUCCCUGAGUUGGGAAGAUCCCCUGGAGAAGGGAAAGGCUACCCAUUCCAGUAUUCUGGUCUGAGAAUUCCAUGGACUGUGUAGUCUGUGGGGUUGCAAAGAGUCAGACACGACUGAGUGACUUUCAUCUCACUUGACAUCAGACUAUGAGAUACCUAGUACAUGUAUCUGUGGUUAAUUUCACACAUAAAAUACACACGCAAGCACUGCAUGUCGGAAAGGUGAGAAGAGAACCACAUGGAAGGUUCUAUUUGGAAACUGUUCAUUUAAAUGUACUUUAAAUUUUUCAGAUGAUAAAAAGUCCUAACCCAUUUGCAGUCUCACCCAAAACAUCUGGAAGCUUACAUGGAUUAUUUAAUAAUCCUAAAUUAGUAUGUGUUAAAUCGCUUCAGUCAUGUCCGCCUCUUUGUGACCCCGUGGACUAUAGCCCACGAGGCUCCUCUGUCCAUGGGAUUCUCCAGGCAAGAAUACUGGAGUGGGGACACCAUGCCCUUCUUCAGGGGAUCUUCCUGACCCAGGGAUUGAGCCCACAUCUCUUGUGUCUCUUGCCAAACAUAUCCCUUGCUCCUUGGAAGGUAAGCUAUGACAACCCUGGAUAGCAUAUUAAAAAGCAGAGACAUUACUUUGCCAACAAAGGGCCAUAUAGGACAACAACAACAACCACAACCAAACACGUGUGUACUCUGAAGAAGGAAACCCAGAAGAAAAUCAGAAAGAGAUAUCAACAGAGACACGCAAUUAGAAGUGACCAUUCUCGGGAGGGUUGGCACAGAGAAGCAACCAGAUGGUCUCUUUCAAGUGGAGCCAAAUAGAAUGGAACAGUAGAUGUUUUUUUCCUAUAAGAAUUUAUAGGGGGAAUAAACUCCAAACCCUCCAAGUGCCUAGGAAUAUUCAGAUCAACAAUUUCAUGUUCUUCAACAAGUUCCAAAUCACAAACCAAAGUUUUUAACUCGAUAUGGAGGGAACAAAAACUUUAACUGCUGUAGAGUUCCAAAGUGCUAGGGACAAAGAUCAAUGUCUUAUGUCCAAAGACUUUUGACUCACAUACAAGAUUUAGGUAAGUUAAUCAUGUAAGGUGAAAGUUAUGCUAUUUAGCCAAUCCCCACCCUCUACUUCUGACACCCUCUGCCCCCGCCAGUCUGAUGGGUUUCAUUUGAGAUCUUUUUCUAAUGUGUUUGCAAAAAUAUGACUGUAUAGUUGUUUUGUAUGUUUUCACAUAAAUGUUUUUAUGUGAAAAUUUUACAUAUUUUUCUAUAAUUUGUUUUUUUUUAACCUAUCAAACAUCUUGGAGAUUUUUCCUUACCAGUACAUAGAGAUUAACUCCAGUUUUUUCUUGUAUGAUUUUUUUUUCUUUUUAACUUUUUGGGGAAAAUUGUAGAUUCAUAAGAAAUUACGCCCCACCCCCUGCCAAAUUUUCAGGGAUAUCUGAAAGGCCACCCUUCACCCAGUCUCCACUAAUAGUCAUGUUUUAAUUUGCAUUUCACCAUCCUCUAUGUGUUUGUAGAUACUUCUGUGCAAUUUUAUUAUAUGUACAGAUUCACAUAAGCACAUUGCAUUUUUAAGAUGUUGUUUAAGAUGUUUAAGAUUUGAACAAGAGUUCAAAUAUACUCCUGGGAGUAUAUUUGUGUGUGUGUUUGUGUGUGUGUGUGUGUAAAUUGCUGAAGAAAGUAUUUUCAAAGUAGUUUUAAGGGUCUUAGAAGUUUGUCUUGUUAAAAAUAUUGGUUAGGGUGGUUAUCAAGAUUAAAGAUUUAGGAUAUUAAUCAUGUAUUGUCCUCUCUUGUUCUUCAAUUGUUUAUUAUUUGUGUGUAGCUGCAUAGAAAAAAUAAAUAGAGGGAUGGUUAGAUCUGAUUAGCUUUCCUUGCUAGACUAAAUCACCUUGGGAGGCUAGGCUAUAAUCUCAGAAACCUGUGAAAUUCACCAUGCCUUUGUAUGUCUGAUGCAUGCUUAACAGGCAUCCAAUAAAUGCCUGCUGGUUACUUAGGCUGGUUGAUUUUCUGGUUACCCUGCUUACCAGAGUGCCAGCUGAAUGAGCCAAGCUGCAUAUUUCCUUGUAGAAAUAUGCUCCUGGAAAACUCAAACAAAACAUUUGCUUAUGCCACUCCCAGUAUAAGAGUGAGUGAGUGCUAAGUCGCUUCAGUCAUGUCCAACUCUGUGUGACCCCAUUGACUAGCCCAGCAGGCUCCUCUUUGCAUGGAAUUCUCCAGGCUAGAAUACUGGAGUGACUUGCCAUUUCCUACUCCUGGGAUCUUGUCAACCCAGGGAUCGAACCUUCAUCUCAUGUCUUCUGCUUUGGCAGGCAGGUUCUUUACCACUAGCACCACCCAGGAGGCCUUGGCAAAAUAUCCUUGGAAAUAUUAUGAAAGCACCUGGAUACUACAGUGGUACGUUUUAUUGAGCCAGCUCAGAAGAUGGGUAGCUAUUUAGUUCCAAGCGCCAUCCAAGACAGUGGCAGUUUCCUACAUGACUUCUGGCAAAAUGUGUCAUGAAUAUUCAUGAAGCGAAAGAUCAGAAAAUACUCGCUGCUUGUUAGUUAUCCUGGGAUCCUCCUGGGAUGCAUAUGGUAAGGUUCAAGCAAGGCCACAUUCAUCUCACUUCUCUUCUUUUUCAGGACAUUAUUAUUAUAUUACAUAUUUUAAUUUCACUGAGGCAAAGUCAGCCAGAAAAAGAAACCAGAAUAUUAGCUCUUCAAUUGAUUGCAAUUUUAAAGGACAUUGCAAUGAUUAUUUCUUGCAAAAAAAAAAAAAAAAAAAACCUGUAAAUUGAUAAGAACAAUGUGACAUAGAAAAGAUGUCUUUCUCUGCCAACCCUGUUCUUCUUUUAAUAACAUGGAGCUCAAAUCCUGCUAUCUUCUUGAAAGCUUCUCUAACCAAAAUUCAAUUAUUGUGGAAUAGUCAAGAAUGUGGAAGCUGCCAUAAAAAAAUACCUGUCUGAACAUAAGGGUGCAUGUAUCUUUUUGAAUUAUAGUUUUUCCAGAUAUUUGCCCAGGAUAUGUACAAUAGAAUGUAAAGAGUGAAAGUGUUAGUCACUCAGCCAUGUCUGACUCUUUUGACCCAAUGGUCUGUCCAUGGAAUUCUCCAGGCAAGAAUACUGGAGUAGAUUGCCAUUCCCUUCUCCAGGGGAUCUGCUUGACUCAGGGACUGAACCUGGGUCUCCUGCAUCACAGGCAGAUUCUUUACCAUCUGAGCUACCAGGGAAGCCCACGGUGGAAUACUAUGCACCAAUUAAAAAGAACAAGACAGCGCUAUUUGCAACAACAUAGAUAGGCUUAUAGAUUAUCAUAUUAAGUGAAGUAAAUCAGAAAAAGAAAGACAAAUACCAUUUGAUAUCUGCAAUAUGUGGAAUCUAAAAUAUGACACAAGUGAAUCCAUCUACAAAAUCAAAAUAGACUCAUAGACAGAGAGAACAAACUUGUGGUUGCCAAGGGGAAGGGAGGGUGGGGAAGGGAUGAAUUGGGAGUUUGAAAUUAGCAGGUGCAACCUAAUACGUAGAGAAUGGACAAACAACAGGAUUCUACUGUAUUCAAUAUCCUGUAACAAGCCAUAAUGGAAAAGAAUAUUUUAAAAAAUAUAUAUGUAUGUAAUAUGAGGGCUUCCCGGAUGGCACUAAUGGUACAGAACCUACCUGCCAAUGCAGGAGAUAUAAGAGAUGCAGGUUUGAUUUCUGGGUCGGGAAAAUCCCCUGGAGGAGGGCAUGGUAACCCACUCCAGUAUUCUUGCCUGGAGAAUCCCAUGGACAGAGGAGCCUGGCAGGCUACAGUCCACAGAGUCACAAAGAAUUGGACACUACUGAAGGGCACACAAAUAUAAAAAAUGAUAUAACUGAAUCACUUUGCUGUACAGCAGAAACUAAUAUAACAUUGUAAAUCAACUGGCAAUCAAAAAAUUAAAAACAGGGACUCCCCUGGUGGUCCAGUGGUUAAGAAUUCACCCUGCAAUGCAAGGGACGAAGGUUUGAUGCUUUCACUGAUCAGCGCCCCAGACUUGAGAACUUCUGUCUCUGCUACUCCUUAAGCACUUAACCACAGACCGGCUAGAUUUAUUAUUUAGUUACUCAUGUUUGUUUCAUCUUCCAAAGAAACCUGCCAUCCUCUUGAGGACAAAAAUCAUGUCACAUACAACUCUCAGAACAUCUAGCUCAGUUCCUCCCCCUUAGUAAUAUUUCAGUAAGCACAUUUUCAAAAUAGCACUGUGUUACAUUCAUUGAGCACUGAUGAUAUGCCAGGAUAAUAUAUGCUAAAUGCUUUGACGCAUUUAUCCCAUUUAAUCUUUACAUUAACCAAAUGAGGCAGGCACUAUUAUUAGACCUAUUUGUUAGAUGUGGAAACAAAGUUACAAAAGUUAUAAACUUUGCCCCAAAUCACACAGCUGGUAAAAGGCAAAACCCAGACUGAAACUCCAGUCUGUCUGAUCCCAGACCCCCUGCUUCCCACCAUUUUUGGAUAUUGCUUCCCAAAUUAAAAGAAAACAAACAAACAUUUCUUGAUUAAUUAGAUGCUGAAUAGCUGGACAUGAAUGAACUCUUUGAACUCACUUGUAAUAUCUAGGUCACUUGGCAAUAACUAGAUAUUUACUAUCGUGGAUGUUGGAAUCUGAGAUUUAUUCAGUCAGCAGAAAAUUUUGCUAGGCAUGUGCCCCCGAGGACAGAUGAGUGAGACAAUGUCACCAAAACAAGUAAUUAUAAAACAACGCACAUCGGGUUUUAAUGACGGUUUGGAAAAAUGCUCAUGGAAACAUAGGAGACAAACUUAAUUUAAAAUAGUUCACCAUAGUGUCAGCAUUUUUAGGAUUUCUGCUAUGUACCCAGCACAGUGCUGAGCAGUUUAUACAUACUGAAUUCUCACCACCACUCAACAAGAAGUAGGCUUUAUUAUUCAUAUUUGCAAAGAAGUAAACUGAAGCCUGAAGUUGUCAAAUGGCUUGGCCAAGGUCACACAGCUAAUUAAUGGAGCAUAGAUUGACUCAUGUUUAGGUCUGAAAGACACCCAGGUCCAUGGUUGGUUCCAGCUACCCAUACUCUUAUGAACUAGGUUUUCUUCUGGGUUUUUGCACUAUCAAGAAACACCAAGGAAAGCAUAUAAAUAUAAAGGAGAAAAAAUAUAUAUAUAAAAGAGGUAUAGGUAUAUGAAGGAGGUUUCAGAUCUGUCUCUUUAAGGCACUUCGGCCAACAGAGUGAACCAACAGGGUCAUGGGGCUGAGUCAUUGUCUGAUUUGGAGAAUAGAUUAUUUCGAUAUUUCGCUUCUCGCUUUUUUUCCCCCCUCAGCUGGGGUUUGUAAUCUCUAUUGUUCUUUAGGCUGACACCAGGUUUUGUGCUUCCUGAUUUUGAUGAACAGUUUCUUGUCUAGUCCCCCUAUCUCUUUAGUAAGCACGGUCCUUUCUGUAUUUUUCCCCCACCCUCUUGUCACAUCAAAAAGAGAGAUUUGACAGUUGUUUGAUUUGCCAUUCUCAUGAUGAAGGUUUUAGAUCAAAGCCAGAGCACCAUCAGUCACAUUUAUAACACAUUUUAGGACGAGAAAAAAAUCAAGCAAAUGGGGGACAUUUUCAGGGGACCUUCAGGAGAUGCCUUGGGACAGCCUUACAGGAGGACCAAUUCUGGAGCCUGGUGGGUACGUCUUCCAUACCUACCUAGGGGAAUGACAAAGGAGGCCCAGGACUGUGCCACCAAAAAAGAAACAAAAGGGUCACUACUGAUGGAAGACCUUCUGGCAGCAUGAUACCAGUGCCUCAAACACAAGCCUGACUUUGGGCCCGGUAGUUUCAAUUUGAGGAGUCUAUUCUAAAGAAACAGACUUGUGUACUGCAAUCACCCUCGGUAUUUUUUUCAGUCGAGUUUUACUGAAACUUUGGAUGGCUAAGUUGAAGAUCUCUCUCGGUAAAUGACACACUGCACUUGAAAAUAUGUGGGUUAUUUUCAAAUAUCUUUUGAUAUUGAUUUCUAGCACAGUUCCACAGUGAUAAGAGAACAGACUCUGUAUGAUUUCAAUACGUUUAGACCAUGACAUUUUUGCACCUUGUUUUAUGUCCCUGGGGCUAUCUUCCAAUGUCUCCUAGCUUACAAUCUAUGGGAACUUGAAUAGAAUUUGUAUUCUACUGUUGUGUGAAAAUUGUGUAAAACUUAAUUAUGAUAAAUUGGUUCACAGAGCUUUUCAGGUCUACUAUAUCCUUCUACUUCUCUGUAUAUUUUUGAGAGUUUAGUAUUGAAACUCCAACUAAAAAUCUCAAUUUAUCAACUAAAAAAUUAUAUAGUAGAACUGUAUGUAACCUUGUUUUGUAUUUUCUAAGUCACCUGUAAAUGUUUUAUCAUAUUUUAAUAAUUUAAAAAAUAAAACAGAGUUGUGUAUAAUGAUUAACAUAUCAUCAAUAGGAAAAAAGGGAACAUAUUUAACAGUCUGACAAUGGAAAUUGUGUCAAUAAAUUAUGAUACAUCCAUACAGUGGAAUGCUUCACUGAGAACUUCAUGUCAUAAAAAAAUAUUUAAUGACACAGAAAAAUGUUUUCCAUAUAUUUUAAUCUUUAAUAAUAAGAUGUUUCAAGCAUAUACAAGGUAGCAAGACUAUUAUGACAAACCUACCAUCCAGCUUCAACAAUUACCUGCUGCUGCUGCUGCUAAGUCGCUUCAGUCGUGUCCGACUCUGUGUGACCCCAUAGACGGCAGCCCACCAGGCUCCCCCGUCCCUGGGAUUCUCCAGGCAAGAACACUGGAGUGGGUUGCCAUUUCCUUCUCCAAUGCAUGAAAGUGAAAAGUCAAAGUGAAGUCACUCAGUCAUAUCUGACUCUUUGCAACCCCAGGGACUGCAGCCUACCAGGCUCCUCCAUCCAUGGGAUAUUCCAGGCAAGAGUACUGGAGUGGGGUGCCAUUGCCUUCUCCAUAUAUGAAUAUAUGUAUGUAUUAAUAUAUAUGUGUAGAUACACACACACACACACACACACAUACAUGGGCUUCCCUGGUGGCUCAGUGGUAAAGAAUUCGCCUGCCAGUGCAGGAAACUUGGGUUCAUUCCCUGGGUUGGGAAGAUCUCCUGGAGAAGGAAAUGGCAACCCACUCCCAUAUUCUUGCUUGGGAAAUCCCAUGGGCAGAGAAGCCUGGCAGGCUUCAGUCUAUGGGGUCGCAAAAGAGUUGGACAUGACUGAAAGCCUGCACAGCAACAACAUGCACACACACACACGUGUGUAUGUCAUAUGUGUGUGUGUGUGUGUGCAGGUAUGUAUUAUAACUGAAUCAAUUUUCUGUAUACCUAAAAUACUGUGAGUUAACUAUACUUGAAUAAAAGAUAAUUUUACAAAGAAACCAGACUGUUGUGUGGAGUUUCUCCCUUCCUAGGCUUUGCUAACAACUUCCCUAUUAAACAUGUUUCUCUGUGUCCUGUAUUUCCUUGACUUGAGGUUUGAUUUUUGGCAAAAAACACUUUGUAAAUUUUCAUGGACUCGACUGUGCCCCUCAUCCCAAUUAGUUUGUUGAAGUCCUAGGCCCUAGUAGCUCAGAAUGUGACUGUAUUUGAGGAUGGGGGUCUUCAAAAAGGUCAUUAAGUUAAAAUGAGGUCAUAAGGAUGGGCCCUAAUCCACUGAGAAGUGUAAGAGAGGAGGAGAUUUUUUUUAUGUUGCAUUUCUUCAUUUUGGCCACGCUUGGCCUUCGUGGCCGUGUGAGGUCUUUCUCCUGUUGCGGCGCGCAGCCUCAUCAUUGCAGUGGCUUCUCCAAUUGUGUAGCGCGGGCUCUAGGGCAAGCUUCAGUAGUUGCCCCGAGGCAUGCGAGAUCUUAGUUCCCUGACCAGGGAUGGAACCUGGAACCUAUAUCCUCCGCACUGGCAGGCAGAUAAGAAGAAGAAAUUUAGGCUCGGACUCAGUACAGUGGAAAGACCAUGUGAAGACAGAGCAGAAGAGGACCAUUGUAAGCCAUGGAAAAAGGACUCAGCAGAAACCAACUCAGCCGCCACCUUAAACUUGGGCCUCCAGGCUGCAGGAGUAAAGUAAACCUCUUGAGAAAGUAAACCUCUGUUUUUUUAAGCCACGCAGUCUGUGGCACUGAAUUACUGCAGGCCUGGAAAAACUGAUACAUAGAUGUGCCUCUUUUGUCAGAAGGCACACAACCCAUUCUUGAGUAGGGAAUUCUGUGAUGGAGAGGAAAAAAAUAUUACAAACCGUAAAUCUUGUUUUUAAUCUACACAGUAAGAAUGGCUACCUGUUUCAGAACAAAUUAUGUGCCAGGCACUGUACUCUAAACACUUCAUUUUAUUACUUGACUUUACAAUCAGACCCACAGGUAGGUAUUAUUGUUGCCAUUUACAGAUAUUGAGACGAAUUCAGAGAGAUUCAGACACCAACCCCAGAACACACAGCUGGUUAAGUGGCAGAGAUGGGUCUAACCUGGGCCCCUUGUGUGCCAUGUAGAUGAUCACUGAGAAAUUAGAUGCUGUCAAACAGAGCUGUGGGACAAGCCCGAACUGCCAAGCUCAAACUGGAGAAGAAAGCAGCCCAAGGAGACAUGGUACUCCCAGUGAGAAGAAAAGGGCCACUUCUCAGGCCCUUGGCAUCUGAGGUCCCGACCCUGAUUUUCACAGCUCACGCUGCAGUGGCCCAGCUCUCCGAUGGCCGCUGCUACACUAACCGUGACAGUCAUUCCUCCUGGGUCGACAUGGAAAAUCACCCUGGCAUCAUCUUGCAUAGACUGCCUGCCUCUUCCCUCACCCCCCUCAGCCCACUAACAACCCUAAACUCCACAUGCACGCUCACAGCUGUUUUGUUCUAUUUUCACUGGCUUUGGAUCACAUUUCAAUUCAGAAUUAAGGAGCAGUGAGUAGGAGGCAGUACAGUAUUAAGGUUGAAAGCAUGGGCUUUGGGGAAAAAAAAACACAACAGAUCUGGGUUGGGGUACCUGAUCUAUCCCUUUUACCUUGGCCACUUUAAGUGAGAGCCUUAUUUCCUCUUAGCCUCAGUUUCCUCAUCUUUAAAAUAAGAUUAAUUAUAAUACCUACUUCACAAGGUGACUGUGACAACUAAAUGAGAUCACGCAUCUAAAGCACAGCUCUAGGGCCCUGAAACUUAAUCAGGUAGCUUUGAAAUAUUAGCCCUAAAAGAGAAAAGCACGCUGCUAAGA